rnacentral:rRNA from 1 species
AGCAGCCGCGGUAAUUCCAGCUCCAAUAGCGUAUAUUAAAGUUGUUGCAGUUAAAAAGCUCGUAGUUGAAUUUCGGGGUCAGUAGGUUGGUCAUGCCUUCGGUAUGUACUGGUCUCACUGAUUCCUCCCUCUUGAAGAACCGUAAUGUCAUUAAUUUGAUGUUGCGGGGAAACAGGACUGUUACUUUGAAAAAAUUAGAGUGUUUAAAGCAGGCUCACGCUUGAAUACAUUAGCAUGGAAUAAUGAAAUAGGACGUUCGAUCCUAUUUUGUUGGUUUCUAGGAUUGACGUAAUGAUUAAUAGGGAUGGUUGGGGGCAUUAGUAUUCAAUUGUCAGAGGUGAAAUUCUUGGAUUUAUUGAAGACUAACUACUGCGAAAGCAUUUGCCAAGGAUGUUUUCAUUAAUCAAGAACGAAAGUUAGGGGAUCGAAGACGAUCAGAUACCGUCGUAGUCUUAACCAUAAACUAUGCCGACUAGGGAUCGGAUGAUGUUAAUUUUUUAAUGACUCAUUCGGCGCCUUA